rnacentral:rRNA from 1 species
CCUACGGGUCGCUGCAGUGGGGAAUAUUGGACAAUGGGCGAAAGCCUGAUCCAGCCAUGCCGCGUGUGUGAAGAAGGCCUUCGGGUUGGAAAGCACUUUCAGUGGGGAAGAAAGCCUUGGGGCUAAUACCCUCGAGGAAGGACAUCACCCACAGAAGAAGCACCGGCUAACUCCGUGCCAGCAGCCGCGGUAAUACGGAGGGUGCGAGCGUUAAUCGGAAUUACUGGGCGUAAAGCGCGCGUAGGCGGUCUGAUAAGCCGGUUGUGAAAGCCCCGGGCUCAACCUGGGAACGGCAUCCGGAACUGUCAGGCUAGAGUGCAGGAGAGGAAGGUAGAAUUCCCGGUGUAGCGGUGAAAUGCGUAGAGAUCGGGAGGAAUACCAGUGGCGAAGGCGGCCUUCUGGACUGACACUGACGCUGAGGUGCGAAAGCGUGGGUAGCAAACAGGAUUAGAUACCCGAGUAGUC